rnacentral:rRNA from 1 species
UAAUGAUUCCCCUAGUACGGCGAGUGAAGCGGGAAGAGCUCAAAUUUGAAAUCUGGCAGUCUUCGAUUGUCCGAGUUGUAAUCUAUAGAGGCGUUUUCCGUGCCGGACCGUGUCCAAGUCUCCUGGAAAGGAGUAUCAAAGAGGGUGAUAAUCCCGUACUUAACACGACCACCGGUGCUCUGUGAUACGUCUUCUACGAGUCGAGUUGUUUGGGAAUGCAGCUCAAAAUGGGUGGUGAAUUCCAUCUAAAGCUAAAUAUUGGCGAGAGACCGAUAGCGAACAAGUACCGUGAGGGAAAGAUGAAAAGCACUUUGGAAAGAGAGUUAAACAGUACGUGAAAUUGUUGAAAGGGAAACGAUUGAAGUCAGUCGUGUUCUUUGGAUUCAGCCAGUUCUGCUGGUCUACUUCCUUGGAACGGGUCAACAUCAGUUUUGUCCGGUGGAUAAAGGUAGUAGGAAUGUGACUUCUCCGGAAGUGUUAUAGCCUAUUAUCACAUACACUGGGUGAGACUGAGGACUGCAGCUCGCCUUUAUGGCCGGUCUUCGGACACGUUCGAGCUUAGGAUGUUGACAUAAUGGCUUUAAACGACCCGUCUUGAAA